rnacentral:lncRNA from 1 species
UGUGUCACACUUAAAAUGUAAUCCUCUCGAACAAACUGAUUGUUCAUGUAUUACUUACUUGGAUGGACAAUGCCUUGUUGCUAAAUAGAUUACAGGGAUGUAGCUAUAAAUCUGUGAAACAGCCUAUGUAUCCAUGUAAACGUGCUCUCUCCCAUCCUAGAAAAAAUUAUAGGAAAACGGUUCCUUAGGGCAAUGACUGUCUUUUGUUUCUUUUUUAUGCUUAGGAUAUGGUUUUAUGCAAAGUAGCUACUCAGUAGAUGGUCUUAAAAAUCACAAAAUCCCAACAAAUAUGUUACUGUGUACCUGACUCAUGCUAAGCACUCUAUCAUAUCCUUGGAGUGCAAAGGUUAAAUAAGAGCUUGCCAUCAAGUUGGGGCAGUGAGACUGGAAUUCAAGCCAUGUUAAUAAAUCAUAGAAUGUAAGUACAAUUAAGAAACUAGGUGUAAAGUACAAAGAAAAGAAUUAGAAGAGGUCAUGUUUGGAAAGCAGAGAAGUCUUCCAGAGGCCGCCUGAAAGCUGACUGUUGAGAAGUCGUAGAUAAGUACUAUCUCAAAAAGUUCAGGCAGGGUGUUAACAGUUCACAGUCUAGAUAUGACAGAACGUGUUCCUUGUUUGUACCUGCCUUGUUUCAGAAAGGAUGCUGAAGUGACUAGACAUGACACUGAAAGACGGACAGGAAGCAUAUCUUCAAGAGCUUUGCAUUUGAGCUAGGCGUGGUGGCGCACACCUUUAAUCCCAGCACUCGGGAGGCAGAGGCAGAGGCAGGUGAAUCUCUUGAGUUCGAGGCCAGCCUGGUCUGCAGAGUGAGUUCCAGGACAGCCAGGGCUGUAAAAAAGAAACCCUGUCUCAGAAAAUCAAAAGAGAGAGAUAGAUAACAGUGAGUAAAUGUUAUAUUUAAGAAUAUAAAGUCUCGAGGAUUAGAUUUGUUUAAGAAGUUUUCAGAAUGUUGAAUGAAGACAGAAAUUGAGUCAAAUAAUAGACAUGUAUGAUUCAGUUUAUGUAAGACUCAAAAACUGGAUGUAUAUGAUAUGUUUAUAUAUACUUGUAUGUGCAAAGUUUUCAAAAAGAUAUGAAAGAAUAUACAUUAAAGUAUUAGCAAUGAUAACCUCUGAAGGAUGGGAAUAGAGAGGAGGUGGUUUAUUUAGUUUAUAUACAGUAGGUAAGUGUUACGCUUUUAUUUCUGUAUCUCAAUUUUAUAAUGUGUAUUUUUUUUUAAAUAAAACUUUAAUUUAACAGAGAUUCAA